rnacentral:lncRNA from 1 species
GUCCUUUCUUCAAGCGAAUCAGUCGAUCUACUCAAGAGGAAUGAUCCAGAAUCAAGAUUGUGCUUCCUUGGUGGGGUCUGGGCUCCAAAGGCAAAAAGUCCAAGCUCCAGGUAUGCUAUCUCCAUCAUUGAGUAGCAGCUGGCUCUUGUCAAUACAAUCUAAUACAAAAUUUCCAAAACAGAAAGGUCAGUGAGGCUGAUGGUGGCUAGUGUAUUGUGGGGAGUUCGGCAUGGGAGAGGCAAAAGCUGCCAAGAAUAGUGGGUUGUCAUCCAUUUGACUUGCAGAAUCAAUGGUUGGUAGC